CUAGUGGAAAGCCUUCCCAGAAGAGUGGAGGCUGUUAUAGCAGCAAUGUUCCAACAUCUAGUGGAAAGCCUUCCCAGAAGAGUGGAGGCUGUUGUGGCAGCAAAGGGAGGACCAACUCCAUAUUAAUAUCCGUGAUAUUGGAAAGAGAUGUUCGACAAACAGGUGUCCACAUACUUUUGGUCAUGUAGUGUAUUAUGAUUUGAUAAUGGCUAUUUGUGUAAAUGUCCUGACACAGUGUGCUAUCUAGUUGUAUAGUCUAGCUUAGUCAGCUAUACGCAGUAUCCUCAUUCUCUCUGCAUCCUGGGGGGGGGGGGUUAUACUACACAUCAGCAACAAUGACUCUUGCCUAACUAUUGUGAAAAACUGUAUUUAUUUGGAAGAUAAGCUUGAAAUGGGCAUGGUCUAAUUGAAUCAAAAACACAAGUUAAGCUUUCUUCAUGAACAUGAAAAUCAAUUGUUAUUUUUGGUUGUUUUAAAUGACAUUAAAGUUCUAAAUUCCAAGGUUCUAAAUGGCAUUAAAGUUGAAAAUGAAGUGCCUUAGCAUUUUGACCUGUUAAUGGUUCCAUUCAGACUAUUAUACAAAUGCAAUUGCUGUGACAGGUGUAUUGUCAUUCAAAUGUUCAGUGUGGGAGGUGGUUCUGUUAAUUGUCUUAUGGUGACGUCACGAGAACAUGUUUCUACAUCUGCAGUAUCAUUUGUAAUACUCACUUUGACGUUACCAUACACUUGUCUGUUUUUUUAUCAGAGAUCACUUUGGUCACACAAGAAUGUUUAUCGAGCACAGGCCGCGUCCCAUAUGGCACCCUAUUCCCUAUAUAGUGCACUACUUUUGUAGUGGGAAUAAAUAGGAUGCGGUCUACAAGUAAAUACUUUUCAGCAAGACAGUAACUGUUCACAUAUUUUCUAUCCAGCCAUUUUGAGUAAUUCCUAUGAAUCUCCCAACUUUAAAAUAAAUGUUUCUGUAUCAAACAGAA